rnacentral:tRNA from 1 species
AAGGUGUUAGCUCAAUUGGAAGAGCGUCUGUCGGCACAACAGAAGGUGCGGGUUCGAGUCCUUGCACACCUUU